rnacentral:RNase_P_RNA from 83 species
GAGGAAAGUCCGGGCUCCAUAGGGCAGGGUGCCAGGUAACGCCUGGGGGGGAAACCCACGACCAGUGCAACAGAGAGCAAACCGCCGAUGGCCCGCGCAAGCGGGAUCAGGUAAGGGUGAAAGGGUGCGGUAAGAGCGCACCGCGCGGCUGGUAACAGUCCGUGGCACGGUAAACUCCACCCGGAGCAAGGCCAAAUAGGGGUUCAUAAGGUACGGCCCGUACUGAACCCGGGUAGGCUGCUUGAGCCAGUGAGCGAUUGCUGGCCUAGAUGAAUGACUGUCCACGACAGAACCCGGCUUA